CGGGAUGAGCUCAAAUUUAAAAUCUGGCGUCUUUCAGGCGUCCGAGUUGUAAUCUAUAGAGGCGUUUUCCGCGCCGGACCGCGUCCAAGUCUCUUGGAAUAGAGUAUCAAAGAGGGUGACAAUCCCGUACUUGACGCGACAACCGGUGCUCUGUGAUACGUUCUCAAUGAGUCGAGUUGUUUGGGAAUGCAGCUCUAAAUGGGUGGUAAAUUCCAUCUAAGGCUAAAUAUUGGCGAGAGACCGAUAGCGAACAAGUACCGUGAGGGAAAGAUGAAAAGCACUUUGGAAAGAGAGUUAAACAGCACGUGAAAUUGUUAAAAGGGAAACGAUUGAAAGUCAGUCGUGUGAAAGGUAUUCAGCCGUCUCUGGCGGGUGUAUUUGCCUUUCACGGGUCAACAUCAGUUUGAUCCUGUAGAAAAAAGCGGGAGGAAGGUGGCACCCCUCGGGUG
rnacentral:rRNA from 1 species